GGAAGAAUGACUAAACAAUUUGAUGCUGGGAAACAAGUUUGAAAUAGCUCAGGAGGGAUAGACAAGGAAGGAGAAGAAGAGUUAUAAAUGCUGGACUGGGUCUUACAAGGUCAAGAAAAGGUCUUACAAGGUCAAGAAGAUCAAACUUAUAAAAAUAAAUAAAUUAAAAAAACAAAAGAAAAAAAAUAAAGCUCA